CUGUUAGUACAAAAGAAGAAAGUUGCUCACAGAAUUAGCUAAUUUUCAGUAUUUUUGUUUUAACUGAGUUGUUGAUUGUGUGGUUCAUUGAAGAAGAAGACAGCUGUGAUAAGAAGCCAGAUAAAGAUCUCAUGAUCUUAUAUGAGGUGGACUUUCAGUGGUCUUCAAAGAGUUGUCCUGCAGCCCUGAGCAAGCUUGAUGCAUCCUUGCUGUCAUAUCCUGUCAUAUCCUGACUAAAUAUACCAGUGAGUUCACACUGUAUUGAAGAAAACCUUUCCUUGAUAUAGGCGUGUAGCCUAUCUUUUAGGAGACCUCUCUGGAAUGUUCUGCUUUGGAAAUUUAUUCACAAGCAUGCAUACUAAAAGAAGCAAUGUUGAAAGGAAGGUAUGGCUUAAUUUGGUUCUGAAUUUAAAUUAAGGGGGAGAGGGAAGAGGUAUUAGUUGAUCAUAAAUUAAAAAAAAUCUGUGAACUCUUUUAAGUACAAUAAAAUCAGGUUUUUGGUAUGUUUCUCUUUGUAUGAAUAAGAAUAUGGUUAUAGUGGACAUCAAGCUGAAUACCAGGCAAGAAUUUGUUCUUAUCAGGAAAAAGGCAAAGUAAUACUGGGCUACAUUAAGAGGAGGGUGGCCAUCAGAUUAAGGGAAAUUACAUCCUUCCACUGAGUGCUGGUGAAGCUAAAGCUGGAAUAAUGCCCAGUUUGGGGUCUCCAAUUAAAGAGAGAUGUUGGAAAGCUCGAGAGCUGCAUAGGCAGUCAGAGGCCUAGAGUUCGUGAUCUACGAGUAUGUAAUGGGCUCAGGCUUGUUUUGUCUAGCAAAGAGGAGACUAAAGGCAGCCUAAUAGUAACCUGCGGCUACUUGAAAGGGAGCUACAAAGAUGUCAGGAUAAACUCCUGUUAGUAGAGGAAUAAUAUGUACUGAGGGAUAAUGAUAAUGAAUUGUAGCUUGUCAGGUUCAAGUUGGACAUUAGAGGGGAAAAAAUCCCUAGGAGAGCAGGGCAGCAUGGGAACAUAUUACCCUGAGCAGCUGUGGGAUCUUCAUCCCUGGAGGUUUUCAAGAUUUGGCUGAGCAAAGCCCUUGCUGACCUGGUGCAGUGCAGGGGUCAGCCCUGCUUUGAACAGGAGGCUGUAAUUGCAGGUGCUUGUGAAAUUUAUACACAUACAUCAGACCUAUGGUCACUGCAAGUGCUUUUUCACUUUUAUGAGCCCUGGAUUCAUACAGUUUCAUAACUGCAAGUUUUGAUUCAUUCCCACAUCUACAAUAGAAAUAUGUAAAUAAAAAUGAAGGAAAAAAAAGGAAGUACCACAUAUAAGUUAGCAGAAUUGGUAUCAUAUUGGUAUCUUACUGGGUUGCUGAAAAUGGACACUUUCUUAAGUGGAUAGCCUGGCUGCAUAUUUCUGCAGAUCUCAGUGUUGAGAAGCACUGAGGCAUCCUUGAGGCUGAAGUGCUGGGACCUCUAAAAUGUAAAAAUAACUGAUGAACUGCAUGUUUGAUUAACAAAUAUAAACACCUCAGUAACUUCUGAACUGUGAAUCAACAAAUGAACACUACUUAGUCAUAAAAGGUUGAGUUUUGGAUGAAAAAUAUUUGCUGAAUUUCUGAUUGCCCAGGAGAAAUUUGCAUUGCAAAUAAGUGACACUUUGAAAGGGUUAUAUCACUUUUUGUAUGCAUUUCAACACUGCUGAGGCUUAAUUUAUGUACUGUCAUUGCAGAGAGGGAAAUAUAAUGGAUUUUUAAUUAUCCCAAGUUACAAAGAGCAAAUGGAAGGUAGUCCAGUUUCUAGACAAAGCGGGAAGAGAAUUAGGAGUUAUAAAGAACAAAUUACACAGGCAUGCCCUAUUAAAGUUUUCUUGGGCACAGGACAUUCCACUAUUUUAAAAGGUAUACACUGAUUUCUUGAUUCGUUCUCAAGGUACAAUAUUUAAUCACGUUUUUAAAAUGGUUAACGAGGUUGCAUGCACCAAAUUAACUCUGGUUUGUUUAUAUUCGUGCAUGCUUCUUUGCUUCUGAGUAAGAAGGCUGAUGUACUGUACAAAGGCAACAAAGCCCUGCUGACAGUGUUUUACAUUUUCUGGCUUUUCCACUUCCUUGACUUGAGAAGGUGGGAAAUUAUUCACAUACUUUCAUAAAGUUCUUUGUCCUCAGAUCAUGUAAUAAAACACAUAAUUAACGGUGCCUUUAAGCUUAAAUUCUUUCAGCAACUGCUAGCACGUGGCUGUUCUAUUUCUAAGGUAGAGGGCUCAAAUUAUCUGAUGAGCUGUUUUUUGCUUUUUUUUUUUUUUUUGCAUCCAUGUAUUUCUGAAUCUUAAAAACACUUGUUCAGGGACAACCGUUUGCGAGGGAGAUAGUAGAACUUCUCUGUACCUUUUUCUUUUUGCUCCUGUUCACUAAGAACUUGAUUAAGCACCUGUUAAUGUCAGUAACAGUAAGAAUCUUAUUAAUUUCAACAGAUAUGGGUUUAAACCACAACAACACACAGAGUAAGAGCUUCUUCCCUCCCUGUUUCUAUGAGAAUGUUAUGGCUAACACUAUGUUUCAUUAUUCUCACUUCUUCCCCUCCCCCCCAAUUUUCCCUGUCUUUUCACGUCUAAUUUUUUUCACUUUUCCUGCAGGUUGGCACUGGAAACACAUUCAACAUGUAUUUUCAUUAAAGUAUGUUAAAUUACAAA